GAGUUUGAUCCUGGCUCAGAUUGAACGCUGGCGGCAGGCCUAACACAUGCAAGUCGAGCGGUAGAGAGGAGCUUGCUUCUCUUGAGAGCGGCGGACGGGUGAGUAAUGCCUAGGAAUCUGCCUAGUGGUGGGGGAUAACGUUCGGAAACGGACGCUAAUACCGCAUACGUCCUACGGGAGAAAGCGGGGGACCUUCGGGCCUCGCGCCAUUAGAUGAGCCUAGGUCGGAUUAGCUAGUUGGUGAGGUAACGGCUCACCAAGGCGACGAUCCGUAACUGGUCUGAGAGGAUGAUCAGUCACACUGGAACUGAGACACGGUCCAGACUCCUACGGGAGGCAGCAGUGGGGAAUAUUGGACAAUGGGCGAAAGCCUGAUCCAGCCAUGCCGCGUGUGUGAAGAAGGUCUUCGGAUUGUAAAGCACUUUAAGUUGGGAGGAAGGGCAGUAACUUAAUACGUUGCUGUUUUGACGUUACCGACAGAAUAAGCACCGGCUAACUCUGUGCCAGCAGCCGCGGUAAUACAGAGGGUGCAAGCGUUAAUCGGAAUUACUGGGCGUAAAGCGCGCGUAGGUGGUUUGUUAAGUUGGAUGUGAAAGCCCCGGGCUCAACCUGGGAACUGCAUCCAAAACUGGCAAGCUAGAGUACGGUAGAGGGUGGUGGAAUUUCCUGUGUAGCGGUGAAAUGCGUAGAUAUAGGAAGGAACACCAGUGGCGAAGGCGACCACCUGGACUGAUACUGACACUGAGGUGCGAAAGCGUGGGGAGCAAACAGGAUUAGAUACCCUGGUAGUCCACGCCGUAAACGAUGUCAACUAGCCGUUGGGAGUCUUGAACUCUUAGUGGCGCAGCUAACGCAUUAAGUUGACCGCCUGGGGAGUACGGCCGCAAGGUUAAAACUCAAAUGAAUUGACGGGGGCCCGCACAAGCGGUGGAGCAUGUGG
rnacentral:rRNA from 1 species